UAGGGAAUCUUCGGCAAUGGGGGCAACCCUGACCGAGCAACGCCGCGUGAGUGAAGAGGGUUUUCGGAUCGUAAAGCUCUGUUGUAAGAGAAGAACGUGUGUGAGAGUGGAAAGUUCACACAGUGACGGUAACUUACCAGAAAGGGACGGCUAACUACGUGCCAC
rnacentral:rRNA from 1 species